rnacentral:rRNA from 1 species
UACGUAGGGACCAAGCGUUGUUCGGAUUUACUGGGCGUAAAGGGCUGGUAGGCGGCCAACUAAGUCGGAUGUGAAAUCCCCAGGCUUAACCUGGGAACUGCAUCCGAUACUGGUCGGCUUGAAUCCGGGAGAGGGAUGCAGAAUUCCAGGUGUAGCGGUGAAAUGCGUAGAUAUCUGGAGGAAUACCGGUGGCGAAGGCGGCAUCCUGGACCGGCAUUGACGCUGAACAGCGAAAGCUAGGGGAGCAAACGGG